CCUACGGGUGGCUGCAGUGGGGAAUAUUGCGCAAUGGACGAAAGUCUGACGCAGCGACGCCGCGUGUGGGAUGAAGCUCUUCGGGGUGUAAACCACUGUUGCCCGGGACGAAACCCUCCUUUCGAGGAGAUUGACGGUACCGGGUGAGGAAGCACCGGCUAACUCUGUGCCAGCAGCCGCGGUAAUACAGAGGGUGCGAGCGUUGUCCGGAAUCACUGGGCGUAAAGGGCGCGUAGGUGGCUUGGUAAGCGUGUGGUGAAAGUCCGGGGCUCAACCCCGGAUCUGCCGUGCGAACUGCUGAGCUUGAGCAUUGUAGAGGCAGGUGGAAUUCCGGGUGUAGCGGUGGAAUGCGUAGAGAUCCGGAAGAACACCAGUGGCGAAGGCGGCCUGCUGGGCAAUAGCUGACACUGAGGCGCGACAGCGUGGGGAGCAAACAGGAUUAGAUACCCGAGUAGUC
rnacentral:rRNA from 1 species